GACGAACGCUGGCGGCGUGCUUAACACACGCAAGUCGAACGCUGAAGCUUGGUGCUUGCCCUGGGUGGAUGAGUGGCGAACGGGUGAGUAAUACGUGAGUAACCUGCCCUUGACUCUGGGAUAAGCCUGGGAAACUGGGUCUAAUACUGGAUACGACAUGUCACCGCAUGGUGGUGUGUGGAAAGGGUUUUACUGGUUUUGGAUGGGCUCACGGCCUAUCAGCUUGUUGGUGGGGUAAUGGCUCACCAAGGCGACGACGGGUAGCCGGCCUGAGAGGGUGACCGGCCACACUGGGACUGAGACACGGCCCAGACUCCUACGGGAGGCAGCAGUGGGGAAUAUUGCACAAUGGGCGAAAGCCUGAUGCAGCGACGCCGCGUGAGGGAUGACGGCCUUCGGGUUGUAAACCUCUUUCAGCACGGAAGAAGCGAAAGUGACGGUACGUGCAGAAGAAGCGCCGGCUAACUACGUG
rnacentral:rRNA from 1 species